GUCCACGCCGUAAACGAUGAGUGCUAGGUGUUGGAUCCUUUCCGGGAUUCAGUGCCGCAGCUAACGCAUUAAGCACUCCGCCUGGGGAGUACGACCGCAAGGUUGAAACUCAAAGGAAUUGACGGGGGCCCGCACAAGCGGUGGAGCAUGUGGUUUAAUUCGAAGCAACGCGAAGAACCUUACCAGGUCUUGACAUCCCGAUGCUAUUUCUAGAGAUAGAAAGUUACUUCGGUACAUCGGUGACAGGUGGUGCAUGGUU
rnacentral:rRNA from 1 species